GUGGUAUCAACACAGAGUACAAUGUGGUUGUAAUCACGUGAAAAGGGCUGCCUGAAACUGCGUGGUACAAGAAAGACCUAUGAAUUCGCAAGUUUUGACUUCUUCUUUUGUUAAUAACAAAAAACAAAUGUUUAGCUUGCAACUAAGUAAUGAGAAAUAUUUAAUGUUGAUUAAUCAAUGAAUGUUUGAUUUAACUUUAUGGUCAAUAUACAUAAAAUUGUUUUUACGUAAUAUUUCAUGUAAACAUGGUUUUCAUACUUUUCAUAAUUUUUGUACUAAAUACGGCCCAUCUUAACUGAAAAAGGAUUAAUUACUACAACAAAAUGCAUAUUGGUUGCACUAAAUCGGCGCACGCCGAGCACCUCA